UACGUAGGGUGCAAGCGUUGUCCGGAAUUAUUGGGCGUAAAGAGCUCGUAGGCGGUCUGUCGCGUCUGCUGUGAAAACUCGGGGCUUAACCCCGGGCCUGCAGUGGGUACGGGCAGACUAGAGUGCGGUAGGGGAGACUGGAAUUCCUGGUGUAGCGGUGAAAUGCGCAGAGUAUCAGGAGGAACACCGGUGGCGAAGGCGGGUCUCGUGGGCCGUAACUGACGCUGAGGAGCGAAAGCGUGGGGAGCGAACAGG
rnacentral:rRNA from 1 species